rnacentral:rRNA from 1 species
CCUACGGGUGGCUGCAGUGAGGAAUAUUGGUCAAUGGACGCAAGUCUGAACCAGCCAUGCCGCGUGCAGGAAGACGGCUCUAUGAGUUGUAAACUGCUUUUGUACGAGGUUAAACGCAGAUACGUGUAUCUGUCUGAAAGUAUCCUAAGAAUAAGGAUCGGCUAACUCCGUGCCAGCAGCCGCGGUACUACGGAGGAUUCGAGCGUUAUCCGGAUUUAUUGGGUUUAAAGGGUGCGUAGGCGGUCGGAUACGUUAGAGGUGAAAUGCCGAGGCUCAACUUCGGAAUUGCCUCUGAUACUGGUCGGCUAGAGAGUAGGUGAGGUAGGCGGAAUGUAUGGUGUAGCGGUGAAAUGCUUAGAGAUCAUACAGAACACCGAUUGCGAAGGCAGCUUACCGGGCUACUUCUGACGUUGAGGCACGAAAGCGUGGGGAGCGAACAGGAUUAGAUACCCUUGUAGUC